ACAACAUUCGGACCGUCUGUCUAUUGAGCAAUAUCACCCGCUCGGUGGAAGAUCUUCCCUUUGUCGU
rnacentral:pre_miRNA from 1 species